CGCGGGGUGGAGCAGCCCGGUAGCUCGUCAGGCUCAUAACCUGAAGGCCGCAGGUUCGAAUCCUGCCCCCGCAA
rfam:Pedosphaera parvula Ellin514 ctg199, whole genome shotgun sequence.